AUUGAACGCUGGCGGCAGGCCUAACACAUGCAAGUCGAGCGGUAGAGAGAAGCUUGCUUCUCUUGAGAGCGGCGGACGGGUGAGUAAUACCUAGGAAUCUGCCUGAUAGUGGGGGAUAACGUUCGGAAACGGACGCUAAUACCGCAUACGUCCUACGGGAGAAAGCAGGGGACCUUCGGGCCUUGCGCUAUAAGAUGAGCCUAGGUCGGAUUAGCUAGUUGGUGAGGUAAUGGCUCACCAAGGCUACGAUCCGUAACUGGUCUGAGAGGAUGAUCAGUCACACUGGAACUGAGACACGGUCCAGACUCCUACGGGAGGCAGCAGUGGGGAAUAUUGGACAAUGGGCGAAAGCCUGAUCCAGCCAUGCCGCGUGUGUGAAGAAGGUCUUCGGAUUGUAAAGCACUUUAAGUUGGGAGGAAGGGCAUUAACCUAAUACGUUAGUGUCUUGACGUUACCGACAGAAUAAGCACCGGCUAACUCUGUGCCAGCAGCCGCGGUAAU
rnacentral:rRNA from 1 species